rnacentral:misc_RNA from 1 species
AACGCACCUUGCGCUCCUUGGUAUUCCGAGGAGCAUGCCUGUUUGAGUGUCAUUAAAUUCUCAACUCUGAUCGAUUUGUUUCGAUCCCGGAGCUUGGACGUGGAGCGUGCCGGCGCGAGUCGGCUCCUCUCAAAUGCAUCAGUGGAAAUUCAACCUUUGGUUUUCUGGACGUCAGUGUGAUAAUCAUGUUGCGCUGUCGUCCGAACCUCGGAGUCCGCUUACAAUGGUCUUCGGACAAACCUCGUCAUCGAUUUGACCUCAAAUCAGGUAGGACUACCCGCUGAACUUGA